CUCCUUGCCAGGUGUGAGGAAAUUGAUGUCAGUGGGAGAGGCAACCUCCCUGCCUUUCAGUUUGCCUCCUCGUGGGGGAGGCAGCUGAGAACAAUUGAGGAAGGAAGAACAGUUUCAUCGGAGGAAAGCCUGCAGCUCAUCACGAGACAGGGUCUCACUAUGUGUCCCAGGCAGGUCUCAAACUCCUGGCCUCAAGCGAUCCAACCACCUCAGCCUCCCAAAGGAUUGGGAUUGCAGGUGUAAGCCAUCACGCCCGGCCUGAAUGUCUUUCAGUGUGAUGAACCGACAGCUAUAAUAUGGAUAUUAUUGGCUAUAAAAAGGAAUAAAAUAGUGAUCUAUGCUACAAUGUGGAUGAACCUUGAGAACGUUACGGUAAGUGAAAGGAGCCUGUCACAAAGACCACAGACCACAUAUUGUGUGAAUCUAUUUGUGUGAAAUGUCUACAACAGGCAAAUCUAUCAUAGAGACAGAAUGUGGUUGCCUAGGGUUGUAGAUAGGGGUUCUGGAAAAUGGGGAAUGACUGCUAGUGGGUAGGGGGUCCAGACUUGGGCAGAGGGAGAAACAGCCAAAGGAAGAAAUUGCUGUUCCCAUAUUUCCAAGAGCAAGGAUUGUUUUCAGCUGAGCCUGCCUGUGCUGAGCCCUUUCCUGGGCUGCAGAACGCCAUGGGUGGUGUCCGCUGUGAGGGACUGCACAGGAUCUUGGCAGGGAGCCAGGGCCCUGCAUCCUGGGUGGGGGGUAGAGGCACAGGCUCUGGAGCCAGAUUGUCGGGGCUAGUAUCCCCCCUCUGCUGGUGGCUUGGGUGGCAGCUUCACUGCCUGAUCUCUGUUUCCCUGUCUGAACUUGUUGGGUGUAAGAAGGAAGUCAGAGCGUCUUGAGUUGCACAGCGCAGCUCCUGACACAGAAUACGCACUUAGUAUCACCAGGGUGGCCACCGAGUGGGACCUCAGCCUCCUCUGGUGUUCUGGAACUGCAGUGAAUCUCAGCCCUGCCUCUGACCACCUCUGUGACCCUGGGCAAAUGACUUCACCUCUCUGAUCCUCCUUCCUCCUUUGCAAACGGAGUCUCCAGCACCAGGGUUAGCAGCAGCCUCCAGAGUCUGUGACUCCCACUUCCUUGCUGUGGUCCCCUAAGAAAGUCACUCAGACUCCCCAGCCCCCUCUGCAGA